UGCCAGCCGCCGCGGUAAUACGGAGGGUGCAAGCGUUAAUCGGAAUUACUGGGCGUAAAGGGCGCGUAGGUGGUUGUGUAAGUCGGAUGUGAAAGCCCAGGGCUUAACCUUGGAACUGCAUUCGAUACUGCAUGACUAGAGUGUGGUAGAGGGAAGUGGAAUUCCGGUGUAGCGGUGAAAUGCGUAGAUAUCGGAAGGAACAUCAGUGGCGAAGGCGGCUUCCUGGACCAACACUGACGCUGAGGUGCGAAAGCGUGGGUAGCAAACAGGAUUAGAUA
rnacentral:rRNA from 1 species